CACAAGCUCAGCAUGAGUGCCGUGCUGCGCUGCUGUGCGAGCAGCUGUUUGUCUGUGCGUAAUGUGCAGUCUGUCGAUGGUUAUUUAGGCUACACACUGUCCAUAACCUGGUGUGUAUUUCGGACCUCUUUGUUAAUGACAACGGAGUGAAAAACAUUGAAUUUCCCCUCAGGGGGAUUAAUAAAGUAUAUAAAAUUUAAAAAAAAAAAUCUAGAGAUAAUUACUUUGUCUCUCCUGCAUUUCCCCUUGAAAGUCUUAACAUCAGUUGAUUUUUGUAUGCUAUAUAAGUGUCUCCCUUUUUCAUCGGUGUCCCAUUUCUUCUGCCACACAUCCCUCACUGCCUUUCUUAUUAGUGAUUUGGUGUCACCUUUUCCAAAGGGAACUUUCAUUAUUUAUCACUUAAUUUCAGCACUCUCUUAGCAACCACGUUGUCAUGAUCCUCAUCAUGGCAGCCCUUCCUUCUCCCUUAUGUGUGUGUGUUGUCAUUCCCAGUCUGUAUUAUUCCUCCUGUGUCUCUCCCCCUGUCUGUUCUGUGUGUGUGCAUGUGGGCGUGGUCUCCGUCCACAGGCAGCACCAGGUGAAUCCACUCCAGUAAUCAACCUCUCCAUAAAGCCUCUGGAUUCCCUCCUACUCGUCGCCAGAUCGUUUCAUCAGUUUACGUGAUUGCUGUGCUCGCCUCGUGAUCUCGUGUGUGCUGCUUCCCUGCCUGCCUGUGGACCUGCCUGCCAUCGUCUGCUCUCCUGUGUUUCCCCUUUGAGUGAGUACGCUCGAGAAGACGGACCCCACUGCCCCGUGCCACAGCACUGCCAUUACCACGUGGCAGACGCCACAUCAAAGACACUCUCACUCUGCUCCUCACUGGUGACUUCACGAGACACGUCUGGAUCCUGGGACUACGCACCACCCCUCCCCCUUGCACUUGCCAGCACAUUUGAACAUUAAAGACUUGUUAUUCACUGUUAACCUGUUUCUGAAUCGUGCAUUUGGGUCCAGGCUUUGAAAAAACCUUAACACGUCUAACACCAGUUGCUCUUCCUGCGGUUUCUAUCAUUUUUUUCCCCUGUUAAAGGGUCUUUUGGGGAGAGUUUUUCCUUAUCCGCUGCGAGGAUCCAAAGGACAGAGGGAUGUCGUAUGCUGUAAAGCCCUGUGAGGCAAAUUGUGAUUUGUGAUAUUGGGCUUUAUAAAUGAAAUUGAUUGACUGAUAGAUUUUGCAGUCUCAACAUUAUGAACGGUACUUCUAUCAAUAGGUCAACUCUUACCUGAUAAAUAAAUAAAAUUGAUUGA